rfam:Ovis aries breed Texel chromosome 2, whole genome shotgun sequence.
UAAAAGGCCCUUUUCAGGGCUUCAAAAAAAAAAAAAAAAGAAAAG